UGGCCAUAUCACGUUGAUACACCGGUUCCCUACGAUCACCGAAGUUAGGCAACGUCGAGCCUGUUUAAUACCUAGAUAAGUGACCACAUAGGAAUUCUAGGUACCGUAAG